rnacentral:rRNA from 1 species
ACCCCAUUGCUAUCGGGAUAGGACUAAGACAUGCUAGUUGAGCGCUUCCAGCCAACACGGGAGCGCAGCGCACAGCUCAGUAACACGUGGCUAAUCUGCCCUUGGGACCGGAACACCCCCGGGAAACUGGGGCUAAUUCUCGAUAGGUGAAGAACUCUGGAAUGAGUCUUUGCCAAAAAGACGUUUAUGUUAUGCUCGUAGGCGUCGCCCAAGGAUGAGGCCGCGACCGAUCAGGUUGUUGGUGAGGUAAUGGCUCACCAAGCCUUUUACCGGUGCGGGCCGUGAGAGCGGGAGCCCGGAGAUGGGCACUGAGACAAGGGCCCAGGCCCUACGGGGCGCAGCAGUCGCGAAAACUUUGCAAUACACGAAAGUGUGACAGGGCUAUCCCGAGUGCCAUCCGCUGAGGAAGGCUUUUACCCAGUCUAGAACGCUGGGGGAAUAAGGAGAGGGCAAGUCUGGUGUCAGCCGCCGCGGUAAUACCAGCUCUCCGAGUGGUGUGGAUGUUUAUUGGGCCUAAAGCAUCCGUAGCUGGCUAAGUUAGUCCCUUGUUAAAUCCACCGAAUUAAUCGUUGGAUUGCGGGGGAUACUGCUUGGCUAGGGGACGAGAGAGGCAGACGGUAUUUCCGGGGUAGGGGUGAAAUCCUAUAAUCCCGGGAAGACCACCAGUGGCGAAGGCUGUCUGCUAGAACGCGCCCGACGGUGAGGGAUGAAAGCUGGGGGAGCGAACCGGAUUAGAUACCCGGGUAGUCCCAGCUGUAAACGAUGCAGGCUAGGUGUUUGGACGGCCACGUGCCGUUCUAGUGCCGCAGGGAAGCUGUUAAGCCUGCCGCCUGGGGAGUACGAUCGCAAGAUUGAAACUUAAAGGAAU